rnacentral:rRNA from 1 species
CACGUAGGGGCCAAGCGUUGUCCGGAUUUAUUGGGCGUAAAGAGCUCGUAGGCGGUUCGACAAGUCGGGUGUGAAAACUCCGGGCUCAACCCGGAGACGCCACCCGAUACUGUCGUGACUGGAGUCCGGUAGGGGAGUGGGGAAUUCCUGGUGUAGCGGUGAAAUGCGUAGAUAUCAUUUGGAACGCCAAUGGUGAAAACAGGUAGCUGGGAGUGUGCUGACGCUGAGACACGAAAGCCAGGGGAGCGAACGGG